AUUGAACGCUGGCGGCAGGCCUAACACAUGCAAGUCGAGCGAGCGGAGGACGGGGGAGUAAUGUAUGGGGACUGCCCGAUAGAGGGGGAUCACUACUGGAAACGGUGGCUAAUACCGCAUACGGUCGGAUACCCCAUAUGGGAUUAGCUAGUAGGUAAGGUAAUGGCUUACCUAGGCGACGAUCCCUAGCUGUUCUGAGAGGAUGAUCAGCCACACUGGGACUGAGACACGGCCCAGACUCCUACGGAGGCAGCAGUGGGGAAUAUUGCACAAUGGGCGAAAGCCUGAUGCAGCCAUGCCGCGUGUAUGAAGAAGGCCCUAGGGUUGUAAAGUACUGUCAGGCGGGAGGCGUUACCGACAGAGGAAGCACCGGCUAACUCCGUGCCAGCAGCCGCGGUAAUUC
rnacentral:rRNA from 1 species